rnacentral:rRNA from 1 species
AGAAUCAACGCUGGCGGCGUGCCUAACACAUGCAAGUCGCACGAGAAAGGGGAGCAAUCCCCGAGUACAGUGGCGCACGGGUGAGUAACACGUGAAUGAUCUACCUCCGAGUGGGGAAUAACCAAAAGAAAUUUGGCUAAUACCGCAUAACACUUACGAGUCAAAGCAGCAAUGCGCUUGGAGAGGAGUUCGCGGCAGAUUAGCUAGUUGGCGGGGUAAUGGCCCACCAAGGCGAUGAUCUGUA